rnacentral:rRNA from 1 species
GAUGAGCGCUGGCGGCGUGCCUAAUACAUGCAAGUCGAGCGAACGGACGAGAAGCUUGCUUCUCUGAUGUUAGCGGCGGACGGGUGAGUAACACGUGGAUAACCUACCUAUAAGACUGGGAUAACUUCGGGAAACCGGAGCUAAUACCGGAUAAUAUUUUGAACCGCAUGGAUCAAAAGUGAAAGACGGUCUUGCUGCGACUUAUAGAUGGAUCCGCGCUGCAUUAGCUAGUUGGUAAGGUAACGGCUUACCAAGGCAACGAUGCAUAGCCGACCUGAGAGGGUGAUCGGCCACCCUGGAACUGAGACACGGUCCAGACUCCUACGGGAGGCAGCAGUAGGGACUCUUCCGCAAUGGGCGAAAGCCUGACGGAGCAACGCCGCGUGAGUGAUGAAGGUCUUCGGAUCGUAAAACUCUGUUAUUAGGGAAGAACAUAUGUGUAAGUAACUGUGCACAUCUUGACGGUACCUAAUCAGAAAGCCACGGCUAACUACGUG